rnacentral:rRNA from 1 species
UUUCUAUGGAAGCUGCUCCGACUGAGAAGAGUAGUGGCGAACGGGUGGAGUAACACGGUGGGUAACCUGCCCAUAAGAGGGGGGAUAACGAUCCGGAAACGGGUGCUAAUACGCAUAGUUUUCUUGAUCGCAUGAUCGGGAAAGGAAAGACGGCCUUUGUGCUGUCGCUUAUGGAUGGACCCGCGGCGUAUUAGUUAGUUGGUGAGGUAACGGCUCACCAAGACGAUGAUACGUAGCCGACCUGAGAGGGUGAUCGGCCACAUUGGGACUGAGACACGGCCCAAACUCCUACGGGAGGCAGCAGUAGGGAAUCUUCCGCAAUGGACGAAAGUCUGACGGAGCAACGCCGCGUGAGUGAAGAAAGGUUUUCGGAUCGUAAAACUCUGUUGUCAGAGAAGAACAAGUUGGAGAGUAACUGCUCCAGCCUUGACGGUAUCUGACCAGAAAGCCACGGCUAACUACGUGCCAGCAGCCGC